AGUGAACGCUGGCGGUAGGCCUAACACAUGCAAGUCGAACGGCAGCACAGUAAGAGCUUGCUCUUACGGGUGGCGAGUGGCGGACGGGUGAGGUAUACAUCGGAAUCUACUUUUUCGUGGGGGAUAACGUAGGGAAACUUACGCUAAUACCGCAUACGACCUACGGGUGAAAGCAGGGGAUCUUCGGACCUUGCGCGAUUGAAUGAGCCGAUGUCGGAUUAGCUAGUUGGCGGGGUAAAGGCCCACCAAGGCGACGAUCCGUAGCUGGUCUGAGAGAAUGAUCAGCCACACUGGAACUGAGACACGGACCAGACUCCUACGGGAGGCAGCAGUGGGGAAUAUUGGACAAUGGGCGCAAGCCUGAUCCAGCGAUACCGCGUGGGUGAAGAAGGCCUUCGGGUUGUAAAGCCCUUUUGUUGGGAAAGAAAAGCAGCAGGUUAAUACCCCGCUGUUCUGACGGUACCCAAAGAAUAAGCACCGGCUAACUUCGUG
rnacentral:rRNA from 1 species